ACAUAAAAGUACGUUAAUUGUUCUCGGCCACUAUCACCACGCAAAUAAAAAAAAAAUGAUUCACGAACGGCCACAACAUGAAUCCCCGAUAUGUGUUGCUGUGUUACAAAUCCAUCAAGCGUAACUUAGCCGAAGAUAAUCUGCUUUGCCAUCACCCCGAUUUUUCACUUUUCGUGAGAUCAGUAGAAUUUUUGUUUAAGGGGAGAACACAAAUUUUCGCCUUGUUUUGUUCUGUAGCACUUAAACAACGUCGUCUAUUGUUGUCUUGAGCCAGCCCAUUUCGUUGUCUGCUGUGUGCUUUUAUAUUUAAAUCCCAUUUUGCGAAGAUUUGAAUAUGAAACAAUCGCCUUAUACUACAAUAUCUAUCUGAAGAUGAACUUGAAAAUGGCGUCAAUCAACGUUGAUCCAACCAAAUGUCGACACGUGAUUGUAUUGUGUUGGUCGUUUUUUGUUUGCAAUCGACCCUUCGGCUCGUUUUUUGAGGGGUGUAAUGAAUUGUUAUUCUCAAUGACCUGCCGUUGUAAUGAGCGUGUAAAACACACAUCAAACAACAGUGGCAUUUCGAUUUUUUGAGCUGCUGUUGCCCCACGUACAAUUUUGGCAGGUGCCACAAAACAUCGACAUUCCGUUAGAAAUGCACCGAGGCAGUCAAAAUGCAGAGGGGUGUGUGUGUGUAGUUGGUGGGCAUAUCAUUUCUAGACCAACUUCCUGGACGAAGGGCGCGAGCGGUGCAUUCCAUCACGUCCAUGUCUUCAAUUUCAAGUUUCAUUUCGGGUUUUAUGGUGAUGUUUGUUGCUGUCGAUGUCUACAUGGCAGAAAGGCAUCGCCGGACAUACACAAGUAUGCAGUCCAGAUGGGGGUUGGACAAUAGUGUGAUGGUAUUCAGGUCAAACUCCGCCCCUUUCGCCUACAUCUCCUUUGCUAUCAGCCAUCGGUUUCUAAGCCGGUCUCUCUCUCUCUCUUUUUCUCUCACACGGCCUUUUUUUUUCUCUCUCUCUCGUAAGGCAUAGAAAACGUCUUUGAAAAAUAUCGGCUACGUAUUAAGUUUUCAUAAUAACCUGAGAUCAUUUAUCGGUGCCAUUUUGGAAUGAAGGCGAAAAAAAAAAUGGCGUCUCAUUUGUAUUUUGAUGCAAGUAAACCUUUAGACUUGAUCGAAUAGAUUGACACGCGUCUGAAAACAAGGGGGCGCGUUGCCAGUGCAACAGAGCUCAUUCAUUCAAAAAGAGUUUGGAGUUUGAAACGUAUAGCUUUUCUUAUCUUGCUUUCCGAACCCAGACCCUGACUUUUUUUCCUCGCUUCCCCUGCAGCUGUAACCAUUCAUAAAACCGGCCAAAAUGCUCUCUCCAUGUGCACAUGAAUACAGCGAAGCCAUGUUUUCUCCAUCCGUCGACAUUCCUGCGACUUUCUUCCACACACUAAAAUGUCUGCGCCACCUCUUAUGGCAAAAGAAACGCGUCAUCUCUUUGGCCUAAGAAUUAUCCACAGACCUCCUUUUCUAGAACCACAUCAACUGCUAAACUAAAAAGCUUAAAUGACUGUCAGGCAUGGAACAAAAAAAUAAAAUGAAACAUGGAGAAGGGGGGAAAAGAGAUUGAGUUCUAUGGCACAACAUAUUGGGAGGAUAAGCGUUCGACGCAACUGAAAAAUAAAAUAGAGCCAAAGCCGCAGACAUCCGCUCCAAUUUCGCCUUCUCCUCCGCAACCGCUUCCAUUUUGACGCAUGGAGGCGAAUACUGCGCCCUCUUUUCUUUUUUUUUUUAGAUAAAUAAUAUUUUUUUACUUUCAUUUCAUUCAAUGGCUUGUUUCUCGUUAUUUGGAUAAUUUUUUUGUGUGUGUAAAAAUGUUAAAUCGAUUCGGUUCAAAUGAUACAUAAUUGCAUAUCAUUGAGAAGUUACGCCCACCAAAGUUCAUUGAUUUCGCCGGUAGAGGACAAAUGCUGAUGAUCAUGUCCCUUAUAUGUAGUGUGGAUUUUUGGAUUAAAUUGCCGUACGCCACUGGUAAAACAAGUACUUGAAUUUAGGCAUUUGGCCAAAGAUCCGGUGAAAUGAUGUUGGCAUGGCAACAACUAAACCCGAAGGCCCCCCCCUUCGACUUUCUUGUUUCUCCAGUCAUUUUCGUGCAACUUGCAACAAUUCGCCUCUUCUCGCGCUCUGCAAAAGGUGUUUCGAUUCUAAAACAAAACAAAAAUCUGAUGACUGAACGCUCAUGUCAUCCAACUGUUUGGAGUACGCAGUGCAUUGAAAUAAAUAAUAACUAUCCACGGUCAUAGAAGUUGCCUAUUUAUUUAUUAUUAUUAUUUUUUCCUUUGAGAUGGGGAUGGGCAACAAAAUGGUGGUUCAUCGUCUACAGCUAUUCUCAACAACCAAUGAGAAGAGAGGGAUGACGUCAUGCGAAGACUGGCGCACUGCUGAAACUCCGCCUCUUGAAAAACGAAAAAAAAAGAAAAACUUUUUUUGGGGGCCGGCGGGCGGCGCCGGCCUUGAGGAGUCCCGUCGCCUGAGCUCCACAACGACGUCCCAAUGGCGUUGCGCAGUUCAGUUGCUGGCCAGUCGACCUUCUGUCGAAACACUGGGCGCAACUAGUUGCUUACAUAGCCCUCGUAUAUUCUACACGCUUCUCUUUUUUUCGGCUGCCUGACUUGGUUCAUUUCCGACUUGUACUUUUUUACCUCACGUAAGUGUCAUCCCAGUGUUCCGACCUACUGCUAGCCUCAAACCGGUGCUGCUCAACAUUCGGGUAAAAGAAAAACACACACUAAACAAGCUACUUCGUUUACUGUAUCGCGUAUUUGUUUGACUAUCAUUUCGUCCUUGGCUUUUACGAGUUGUUCUCGAUCAUUUAUCUGUUUUGGAAUGCACAGUUGUCUUAUCUAAUGCUGCUGACUCGAUACGACUACAAAUCAAAUUGGGUUUAGCAUAGUUUUUUUUUGUUUUGUAAACGGUUGUUCGACUCGAAUUCCUAUUGUUAGUGUGCAGAUAUUUCGAUUCAACGAUGAGUUCUUUCAUGGGCAAGGCGACGACAUGCCCACAGCUAGACUAGCUGCUACGCCUUAUAUGGAAAGAGGCCAGUUGAGCAGUGGAAUGUGGCUUUUUUCUUUCUCCCUUCUCUCAGCCAUGUCUUUUUAUUCUCCUCUCUUUUCUCUCGGUAUUCUUCGCCUUCUCUUUCGGAUAUAUCGCUAGUAGAGAGGGGAACUAAAAAAAAAAAAAAAUUUUGAGGAAAAAAAAAAUUAGAAAACUGGCCAUGGAGACUUGAUCGACCGCCAUGUUUUAUUUGGUGGCUGUUGCCAUGCGGAUUUUUUUUAAUGCGAAGGCCUAAUUAAAAAAAAAAUUCUUGUCUGCAUUCCUUUGCCAAUCCAUACGCGAUUUCUGUUCGGAUGGCAACACAUCUCUCUCGAGUAUAGCUGCCGUCACUAGUUUACACGUCUACAUUUAAAAAGAAAAUUGUUUUUCACAUUUUUUAUUUCCCAGACAGGAAGUGACGUCACGUGUUAGCCUUGUGUCUGAAUGGGGGUGGAGUCUGUAAAGUUGGCCAUGAGAGGGGGGGGGGCGGCGGCGGCGGCGUGUAAAAUGAUACGGCUGAUAAAUCAUGUCGCACACACAGACGCGGGUAAUACAACACUGGGCAUCGAAAAAACAUGGCCGAUUAUUAUUUUUACGACGACUUGUGUGUCAGACAGUCAAUGAAUUCCCAACUUGUUCUUGUGGAGUCGCGGUGACUGUUGGGUGCGUUCAAUUCGCCGUCCAUGUAAAAACGUAUAGACAAGUGAGGAGGGGCGUAUAUGUAUUUCGAUUAGAAUCCAAAUCCCCUCUAUUCUGGCCAAGGUGAUUCAUUGGAAAUUCACAGCCUUGCCUCGAGGCUUUUUCUCUCGUCGGAAUUUUUUCCUUCUAUAAAUACAGACUGCCGUACAAUUCUCAGUCUGUAGAAUCUUGAGCAUCCCGUGAUCGACCAAAUGGGCAUCGUGGCAGGGGGAAGAAAAGAGGAGGAGGUUGGGAGGGCUCUUGCCAAAAUGUGUAAAUUUAAACUCACGACGUCGCGACGUCUGGCCGCGGGCGAGGUAUUUUUGGAGCGCUGACUAAAAGGGGAAAAAAAAGAGUGUUAACACUUCCCGUUCGUUCUUGCUGGUCUGGGAAUUUAAUUAAGAAUGUGCACUUUUAAUGUCUUGGGAUGCUGGAGAUAAUGGCGUUCCCUGAAUCUGGUAACAGAGAGAAUUGUCUGUCUCUUUUUGGUUGCUAAAACACCAAACUUGGGUCGGCCAGAUGAAGCUCUGCUCUCUUGAAUAGUUUGCCCUUAUUAGGACCCCAAGUUUGUCUUCUCUUUUUCUUGGCUUUUACUGGUGGCAAUGGCGUCGAUCGGCUGUGUGGACUCGGCCACUGACCUGAACGGAACGAAUAUUGUGGAAUGUUGCUCUUCGUGUUGUUGCUGUUGUUAAUACUGGGGCUUUGGCUCCGUGCAUGGUCUGCUAGCUGUUGACUUGCUCCGCACAAACGAAAAUCUAUACAAGUGUAAUCAUCAGACACACCGAAUAGUGUUACAAGUUGCCGAUGAACUCGUCUCCCUUUCCUCCAUCCCAAGGAUGGUGCUGUGGGACAUGGGCUAGCGUGGGAAAAUGGGCGCAAAAGUGCGGUUCUCUCCUUUUUGUGUGUGCAAGUCUGCGCGUCUCUUUUCCAUGUGUGUGUGUGUGGGAUCGGCCAGACUUAAACUUUCCCAUGUCUGCGCAACUCCCACCAAAUGCUCUUUUUUUUUUUUUUCUUGUUUCGUUUCUUUACUUCUUUUCAUUUCACAUUCCCUCUUUUCUCUUCCUUUUUCUCUUCUUCGUUACACACAGGUACAUGACCGUGUGUGUGUGUCCAGACGAGUGGAAAAUCCGAUAUAAUAUAUGCGAUGGAAUUUCUAAACAUCCUUAACGCAGUUCAGCGUUCAAUCAGCAGAUGGCGUGAGUAGUUAGUGUUGGAUGGGUGCAAUCGGGCUGUCCACCAAAGCCAGUGUGUGUGCGCUGAAAAUAUCAAGUGGGGGACGGAUGUACACACACGUUCUUCACCUAAACCGGAACGAGCGCUCAAAAAGAUCGGUCGGAGUCUUAGGACCUAAAUAGGGUUUUCUUCUUUUCCGAAAAAGAAAGUCGUAUUGAGACAAGGAGAGAGAAAGACGAGAGGGAGGAAGGAAAAGACUGAAUGAAAAUGAAGAAAGGGAGGUCUUAGAAUGGAAACGCGAGGGGGGUGGCUGUAGAGAGACUAGAGAGGAUUUUGUUCGUGUAGGAAGGCGGCGCUAGGCGGCAGUUGGUCUGUGGAAUGCGGUCAGUGCACUGCUCUCCCUCCUUCUCACCCCACUCCUCUCACCGAGGGCUUUGCUCUCUCUCUCUCUCUCUCUCUCUCUCUCUCUUUCUCUCUCUCUCUCUCUCUCUCUCUCUCUCUCUGUUUCUCUUUCUCUCUCUGUUUCUCCUUCACACAUUCAUGCGCCCGCCCGGUUCCAUUCAGCCCCGUCGCCUCACCGCAUUCCUCUACAUUCGUCUGCUGAACGCGGUUGUGUGGUCUCAGUCCGUUCCAGUGUGUUGCAUAGUGAUAGCCUCCCUGUCGCUCGCUCGUCUCCCAAUCUCUACAAACAAAACAGCUGAUUGUGUGUAUAAAGAGCUUCGAGUGCGUGACCUUAGCUUUUUUUUUUUUUUUUACUUGGCAACGGAUUAGUUAUAACACAAAAAGUAUAUCUGCCUUAUCAAAGAGUUUUUGUUUUAUUUUUUGAAAAUUUUAGGGAAUUUAACUAAAAAAAAAAAAAGAGAGAUCGACGGGAGCCAACAAGCGUCCGCGCACGGUUUUUCUUUCUCACGUUCUUGGGUGGCCGUCGCCGUCGCCUUCAAGGCUCGUGCAAUGACCUUGCGCCUUCUCCCUUUCCGCCUUGUGCGGAAUAUCCUUGAACUUUGAUUCUUUGGGAUUCUUUCAUGUCCAUCACUUGCCUCCUUUAAAAAUCUUUUUUCAUCUUUUUCCGGAAGUCUAGCUAGAAGUUUCCAUGCUAAUUGUUUCCUCGUGUGUUCCUAUGCCUUUUUUUUAAAUAAUUCAUUUUGGUUUUUACAUUCUCUUUAAAGAUGCUUCCCCUUCGAGUGGACGGAAUGCGGAAGAGAACGGCAACGUUGGAAUUGUCUUUCCCCCUCCUUUCCUCGACACCUUUUUCUUCUCUCCACUUUUCAGUACAUUUCCACCAAGUGCCGUUGCAUAAAUGCGGCCCUUCGUAAAUAUCGUUCUUUCAUUAUCUACUCCUUCGUUUGAAUCGUUCCUUCAUUCGUUUUAGGAUUCCCUUUCUGUCAUAAACUGGUUUGUGCACCUUAUGCCGACUUUCUCAAAGUCUCGCAGAGAAAGAGAGAGCUCAGCCUCCUUUUUCGUCUUCAUUUUAUCUUUUUUACCGGUCACCUAUGUGGGACACUCAACUCUCAAAGUUCAUCGGAAUGCGCACAUCUUUUCUCUUUUAAUGUCCUUCCUUUAUUUACAGCCUUUCUCCUACUUAUUCGUCUACUAGGCCAUUUUACAGAAAUUUUUCAUCUCUGCCAGCGUUCUGCGUCUGCUUCAAACAGUUGGCGUUUUAAUCUUAUCAUCAGUGCGCGCCCUCUAUCACUUCGUACUUCAGACACUCCUCAAACCGCUCUUCAUUCAUGCUCUCCCCUCAGACCAGUAUCCAGUCGGCUUCGGCCAUGUGUGGAUGUUCCUACAACCGGUGCAAUCGGCUUUAAAAACCUCGAGACUAGUUUUCUCAGUGAUCUGCCAGAUAUUAUUUCAAUUUCUGAGAUCAUUGUGAAAGCUGAUUUUGUGGAUAGCCUCGACUUUUGAAUUGAAGGUGGACUUCAAAAAAUAAUAAUCUGUUGCUAAUACUUGUUAACCUUCUUUGUUGUCACACUGUGUAAUAAUUAUGUUCGUAUAAAUACAAUUAUUAUGAUUUUCAA